AUGGACACUUCCACAUCUCAGAACAGGGAACCGAGGCACAUUGGGCUUUCUGGAACUCUGUCAGGAACCUGUGGGGAGGAUGAGACAGAAGCUGCCCAGUCCACUUCGAGAAAGAAGAGAUUUAAGAAAGUGCGCUUCUCUCUGCACAACCGGGUAUACCCGAUCAGUGACACAGAAGAAGAUCCCACGGAGGGACCAGCCGAGGACCUUCCCACGGACGAGGCAGAGGAACGUGCCUCAUCUCUCCCUGAGGUGGAUGCUGAGACUAUCCAAAACUGUAUGUAUUUUAAAGUAACAUUUUUGGCAGUGAAAUCUCGUGUCAAUAGAAGUGUGGCCUCUGAUCCCGGAUUCCUCCUGGGAAUGAGGGUCCGGGUGUGGUGA
rnacentral:lncRNA from 1 species